GCUUCUUUUUCCCCGGAGCUUGCUCCACCGGAAAAAGAAGAGUGGCGAACGGGUGAGUAACACGUGGGUAACCUGCCCAUCAGAAGGGGAUAACACUUGGAAACAGGUGCUAAUACCGUAUAACAAUCGAAACCGCAUGGUUUUGAUUUGAAAGGCGCUUUCGGGUGUCGCUGAUGGAUGGACCCGCGGUGCAUUAGCUAGUUGGUGAGGUAACGGCUCACCAAGGCCACGAUGCAUAGCCGACCUGAGAGGGUGAUCGGCCACAUUGGGACUGAGACACGGCCCAAACUCCUACGGGAGGCAGCAGUAGGGAAUCUUCGGCAAUGGACGAAAGUCUGACCGAGCAACGCCGCGUGAGUGAAGAAGGUUUUCGGAUCGUAAAACUCUGUUGUUAGAGAAGAACAAGGAUGAGAGUAACUGUUCAUCCCUUGACGGUAUCUAACCAGAAAGCCACGGCUAACUACGUGCCAGCAGCCGCGGUAAUACGUAGGUGGCAAGCGUUGUCCGGAUUUAUUGGGCGUAAAGCGAGCGCAGGCGGUUUCUUAAGUCUGAUGUGAAAGCCCCCGGCUCAACCGGGGAGGGUCAUUGGAAACUGGGAGACUUGAGUGCAGAAGAGGAGAGUGGAAUUCCAUGUGUAGCGGUGAAAUGCGUAGAUAUAUGGAGGAACACCAGUGGCGAAGGCGGCUCUCUGGUCUGUAACUGACGCUGAGGCUCGAAAGCGUGGGGAGCAAACAGGAUUAGAUACCCUGGUAGUCCACGCCGUAAACGAUGAGUGCUAAGUGUUGGAGGGUUUCCGCCCUUCAGUGCUGCAGCUAACGCAUUAAGCACUCCGCCUGGGGAGUACGACCGCAAGGUUGAAACUCAAAGGAAUUGACGGGGGCCCGCACAAGCGGUGGAGCAUGUGGUUUAAUUCGAAGCAACGCGAAGAACCUUACCAGGUCUUGACAUCCUUUGACCACUCUAGAGAUAGAGCUUCCCCUUCGGGGGCAAAGUGACAGGUGGUGCAUGGUUGUCGUCAGCUCGUGUCGUGAGAUGUUGGGUUAAGUCCCGCAACGAGCGCAACCCUUAUUGUUAGUUGCCAUCAUUUAGUUGGGCACUCUAGCAAGACUGCCGGUGACAAACCGGAGGAAGGUGGGGAUGACGUCAAAUCAUCAUGCCCCUUAUGACCUGGGCUACACACGUGCUACAAUGGGAAGUACAACGAGUCGCGAAGUCGCGAGGCUAAGCUAAUCUCUUAAAGCUUCUCUCAGUUCGGAUUGUAGGCUGCAACUCGCCUACAUGAAGCCGGAAUCGCUAGUAAUCGCGGAUCAGCACGCCGCGGUGAAUACGUUCCCGGGCCUUGUACACACCGCCCGUCACACCACGAGAGUUUUAACACCCGAAGUCGGUGAGGU
rnacentral:rRNA from 1 species